GGGAUGGGGAGCGGGCAGAACUGAUUUCUUUCUGGUCUAGUGUGCCACCUACUGGCAGUCUGGCAUCACUGGCAGUUGGAAAAUACAACUGGAUUUUCCUCCUGCUUCAAAGCUCAGCGCCCAUGUUUUACCAAGCUAAGCCAAUUCCAGGCUGAGGAGCUUGGAGGGUAACAGGGAAUGAUUUACGCAGGAAGAUGGAGCAUAAACGUAAUCAUCAUCACUAGCCCUGCCAGAAGUCACCAGCCACCAUGGUCAACUUGUGCACAGCCUGGCUCUAGUGAUGCCUGGUGCCUGGCACAGGGAGGCCCAGUGAUCAGAACAAGGAAGGCAAAAGGAGAAAGCAUCGGGAUUUCUCUGCCCACAUCAGCUUCUAAUUUCCAGCCCACCGCUAGUUUCCCAGCAGGGCUCCCUGUUGCUGCAGAGCUCUGAAGGGGUGUGACACCCCCAGCAGUGUACUGGAAACCUCCACAAUGGAGCUUUCCUUCCUUCCUUCCUCUCCCUCUCCCCUCUCAAGACACAGGGGCAGCCACUGUCCACCUCAGGAAUGAGGACAAGCUGGGCAGGACAGUUCAAGGACCCAGUUCAAGCUAGUAAAAGAGGAAGCUGUGUUCACGUCUUCCAUCUGCCUCCAAAGAGAGGUGAGGGUAGCGGAAGAGGAAAAGUGAAGACGGCAUCCCGGCAUCCCGUCUCCUCCAAGGAACCAAAGCACCUGGGCUCUAGCCCUUUCCACUCUCACCAGGUGAUGGCAGUCUGGGGACAGGCCAUCUUGGCGCUCGCUUUGCCUCUGCUCCUCAAGCCUGGCAGCCUUUCUGCUGAGAACCAUCAAGGUCACCACUGGCCACUUCUCCACUAA
ensembl:lincRNA